rnacentral:rRNA from 1 species
UACGUAGGGGGCAAGCGUUGUCCGGAUUUAUUGGGCGUAAAGAGCGUGUAGGCGGCCUGAAAGGUCAGCUGUGAAAACUCGAGGCUCAACCUCGAGACGUCGGUUGAAACCAUCUGGCUAGAGUCCGGAAGAGGAGUGUGGAAUUCCCGGUGUAGCGGUGAAAUGCGCAGAUAUCGGGAAGAACACCCGUGGCGAAGGCGGCUCACUGGCUCAUUACUGACGCUCAGGCGCGAUAGCGUGGGGAUCAAACAGG